AUUGAACGCUGGCGGCAUGCUUUACACAUGCAAGUCGAACGGUAACAGGCCGCAAGGUGCUGACGAGUGGCGAACGGGUGAGUAAUGCAUCGGAACGUGCCCAGUCGUGGGGGAUAACGCAGCGAAAGCUGCGCUAAUACCGCAUACGAUCUGUGGAUGAAAGCGGGGGACCUUCGGGCCUCGCGCGAUUGGAGCGGCCGAUGUCAGAUUAGGUAGUUGGUGGGGUAAAGGCUCACCAAGCCGACGGUCUGUAGCUGGUCUGAGAGGAGGACCAGCCACACUGGUACUGAGACACGGCCCAGACUCCUACGGGAGGCAGCAGUGGGGAAUUUUGGACAAUGGGGGCAACCCUGAUCCAGCAAUGCCGCGUGCAGGAAGAAGGCCUUCGGGUUGUAAACUGCUUUUGUACGGAACGAAAAGGCUCUGGUUAAUACCUGGGGCACAUGACGGUACCGUAAGAAUAAGCACCGGCUAACUACGUGCCAGCCGCCGCCGUAACAC
rnacentral:rRNA from 1 species